rnacentral:tRNA from 1 species
UAUAUUUUGGUGUAUGGUGCACAUGAACUUUUGAUGUUUUAGGAGUCAGUUUAAUUCUGUCAGGUAUAA